rnacentral:rRNA from 1 species
UACGUAGGGGGCGAGCGUUGUCCGGAAUGACUGGGCGUAAAGGGCGCGUAGACGGCUGUCUAAGUCUGGAGUGAAAGUCCUGCUUUCAAGGUGGGAAUUGCUUUGGAGACUGGAUGGCUUGAGUGCGGAAGAGGUAAGUGGAAUUCCCAGUGUAGCGGUGAAAUGCGUAGAGAUUGGGAGGAACACCAGUGGCGAAGGCGACUUACUGGGCCGUAACUGACGUUGAUGCGCGAAAGCUAGGGGAGCGAACGGGCUUAGAUACCCCGGUAGUCCUAGCUGUAAACGUUGGAUACUGGGUAUUGGGGGUAUGAAUUCCCUCAGUGCCGAAGCAAACGCGUUAAGUAUCCCGCCUGGGGACUACGGCCGCAAGGUUAAA